rnacentral:rRNA from 1 species
GAUGAACGCUGGCGGCGUGCCUAAUACAUGCAAGUCGAGCGAACAGACGAGGAGCUUGCUCCUCUGACGUUAGCGGCGGACGGGUGAGUAACACGUGGAUAACCUACCUAUAAGACUGGGAUAACUUCGGGAAACCGGAGCUAAUACCGGAUAAUAUAUUGAACCGCAUGGUUCAAUAGUGAAAGACGGUUUUGCUGUCACUUAUAGAUGGAUCCGCGCCGCAUUAGCUAGUUGGUAAGGUAACGGCUUACCAAGGCAACGAUGCGUAGCCGACCUGAGAGGGUGAUCGGCCACACUGGAACUGAGACACGGUCCAGACUCCUACGGGAGGCAGCAGUAGGGAAUCUUCGGCAAUGGGCGAAAGCUUGACGGAGCAACGCCGCGUGAGUGAUGAAGGUCUUCGGAUCGUAAAACUCUGUUAUUAGGGAAGAACAAAUGUGGAAGUAACUAUGCACGUCUUGACGGUACCUAAUCAGAAAGCCACGGCUAACUACGUG